CCGAGGACAAUGGCAGAGAUCCAGAUUACCAGGAUGAUGCUGGAAGCCCAGCGUGGGGUUCGGUGCAGCUGUGACCACACUGGGUGAAGAGUGAGAAGGUAACGGUCAACGCUGAUGGCUGAGAGGAAGAAAAUGGAGGCAAACAUCCCCACUGACAAAGUGGCAUUGAAGACCUUGCACAUGGCAGUUCCAAAGCUCCAGUGAUUGUUCUGAAGCACCCACAGGUAGAGGCCAUUGGUGAUGGAACCAAUUAUAACGGACAUGCACAGAAGAAAGGCGAUGAUCGCGUUUGAGGCAGGAGCUGGAAAGGUCCUUGUUAUGACAGCCUUCCUGGAAACAAGAAUUGAGCUUUAUUCAGGAGAGUUCUGGGGUUUGCUCCUAGCCUUGUUGGAUAUAAUUCACCUCAUCAGGCUCCAGAUCCUCUCCAUAUCUGGACUGUAUUCCUGGAGCUGCAGGUA